GAGAAGGCAUCAUCUGAAGCCGAGGAGAGAGGCCUUGCCAGAAACGGACCCUGCUGGCACCUUGGUCUUGGACUUUCAGCCUCCAAAAUGAUUCUUCAGGAGCUUUUCCUUGGUUUUUAAGAAACUUCCCAAUUAAGGAGUACCUAAACCAAUGUAUACCAACAACUAAAUUAUCCUGCAAGACAGCGUUGCUACCAGAAGACUCUGAGACCUGCUAUCUUUUUUUAUUUAAAGGAAAGACUAUAUUACAGAGGUAUUAA